rnacentral:rRNA from 1 species
GGAUAGCCUUUCGAAAGAAAGAUUAAUAUCCGAUAGCAUGUCAAGAUCGCAUGAUCUUGAUAUAAAGGAAUUUCGGUUAUCGAUGGGGAUGUGUUCCAUUAGUUAGUUGGCGGGGUAACGGCCCACCAAGACGACGAUGGAUAGGGGUUCUGAGAGGAAGGUCCCCCACAUUGGAACUGAGACACGGUCCAAACUCCUACGGGAGGCAGCAGUGAGGAAUAUUGGUCAAUGGACGAGAGUCUGAACCAGCCAAGUAGCGUGAAGGAUGACUGCCCUAUGGGUUGUAAACUUCUUUUAUAUGGGAAUAAAACAGGGUAUGCAUACCCUCUUGUAUGUACCAUAUGAAUAAGGAUCGGCUAACUCCGUGCCAGCAGCCGCGGUAAUACGGAGGAUCCGAGCGUUAUCCGGAUUUAUUGGGUUUAAAGGGAGCGUAGGUGGAUUGUUAAGUCAGUUGUGAAAGUUUGCGGCUCAACCGUAAAAUUGCAGUUGAAACUGGCAGUCUUGAGUACAGUAGAGGUGGGCGGAAUUCGUGGUGUAGCGGUGAAAUGCUUAGAUAUCACGAAGAACUCCGAUUGCGAAGGCAGCUCACUGGACUGCAACUGACACUGAUGCUCGAAAGUGUGGGUAUCAAACAGGAUUAGAUACCCUGGUAGUCCACACAGUAAACC